GCCAGGCGCGGUGGCUCAUGCCUGUAAUCCCAGCACUUUGGGAGGCCGAGGCGAGCAGAUCACGAGGUCAGGAGAUCGAGACCAUCCUGGCUAACACGGUGAAACCCUGUCUCUACUAAAAAUACAAAAAAAUUAGCCAGGCGUGGUGGCGGGCCACUGUAGUCCUAGGUACUCGGGAGGCUGGGAUUACAGGUGCCCGCCACCACGCCUGGCUAAUUUUUGUAUUUUUAGUAGAGAUGAGGUUUCACCAUGUUGGCCAGGCUGGUCUCGAACUCCUGACCUUAGGCAAUCUGCCCGCCUCAG
rnacentral:SRP_RNA from 1 species